AACGCACAUUGCGCCCAUUAGUAUUCUAGUGGGCAUGCCUGUUCGAGCGUCAUUUCAACCCUCAAGCCCUAGUUGCUUGGUGUUGGGAGCUUGUCCUGCCGAAAGGCGGACAACUCCUUAAACUUAUUGGCGGAGUCGCGGUGACCCCGGGCGUAGUAAAUUAUUUUUUCUCGCUCUAGGUGUCAACGCUGGCUUUCUAGCCGUUAAACCCUCUAUACUUCUAGUGGUUGACCUCGGAUCAGGUAGGACUACCCGCUGAACUUAA
rnacentral:misc_RNA from 1 species